AAUGGAAAAGAAUUUUAUUCUUAAUGAAGCAUGUAUUUAAUAUAAAAUCUUACAUAUACCUUAUAAUUCAAAGUAGGAACAGUUUAUUUGGUUAAUAUUUAGUGCUUCAGAAAAUGUUAAUAUGUCGAGAUUUAUUAGUACUUGUUUAGAUAUAAAACAGGAUAUUUGCAUUUCAGAAACAUGCAGUAGAGAUGUAUAAUCUAUUUGUUAGGCCAACUAAAAUUAAUUCAUGUAAUUAGUAGAUUUUCAUCCAAAUUUUUUAAAAAAAUGGGGCGGGUGGGAGGAUUUUUAUUUUAAAAUU
rnacentral:lncRNA from 1 species